AUUGAACGCUGGCGGAAUGCUUUACACAUGCAAGUCGAACGGUAGAGGGGGCAACCCCUCGAGAGUGGCGAACGGGUGAGUAAUAUAUCGGAACGUGCCCAGUCGUGGGGGAUAACGUAGCGAAAGUUACGCUAAUACCGCAUACGAUCUAAGGAUGAAAGCGGGGGAGCGCAAGACCUCGCGCGAUUGGAGCGGCCGAUAUCAGAUUAGGUAGUUGGUGGGGUAAAGGCUCACCAAGCCAACGAUCUGUAGCUGGUCUGAGAGGACGACCAGCCACACUGGAACUGAGUCACGGUCCAGACUCCUACGGGAGGCAGCAGUGGUGAAUUUUGGACAAUGGACGCAAGUCUGAUCCAGCCAUUCCGCGUGCAGGAUGAAGGCCCUCGGGUUGUAAACUGCUUUUGUACGGAACGAAAAGGUCUCUCUUAAUACGGGGGACUCAUGACGGUACCGUAAGAAUAAGCACCGGCUAACUACGUGCCAGCCGCCGCCGUAAUAC
rnacentral:rRNA from 1 species